rnacentral:tRNA from 1 species
AGUUUUGAUCUCUCCAGGUAGGGUUCAAACCCCUUCUUUCUA